rnacentral:rRNA from 1 species
UACGGGGGGAGCAAGCGUUGUUCGGAUUUACUGGGCGUAAAGGGUGCGCAGGCGGUCUCGUAAGCUGGGUGUGAAAGCCCCGGGCUUAACCUGGGAAUGGCAUUCAGGACUGCGAGGCUUUGAGUGCGGCAGAGGGAUGUGGAAUUCCACGUGUAGCAGUGAAAUGCGUAGAGAUGUGGAGGAACACCGAUGGCGAAGGCAGCCUCCUGGGCCAGCACUGACGCUCAUGCACGAAAGCGUGGGGAGCAAACAGG